rnacentral:rRNA from 1 species
CCUACGGGCGGCUGCAGUGGGGAAUAUUGGGCAAUGGGGGAAACCCUGACCCAGCGACGCCGCGUGAAGGACGAAGGCUUUCGGGUUGUAAACUUCUUUGGGGAGGGACGAAAUUGACGGUACCUCCAGAACAAGCCACGGCUAACUACGUGCCAGCAGCCGCGGUAAUACGUAGGUGGCAAGCGUUAUCCGGAUUUACUGGGUGUAAAGGGCGCGCAGGCGGUUCUGAAAGUCAGAUGUGAAAGAUCAAGGCUUAACUUUGACAGGUCAUCUGAAACUUUGGGACUUGAGUAUCAGAGGGGAAAGUGGAAUUCCUGGUGGAGCGGUAAAAUGCGCAGAGAUCAGGAGGAACACCGGUGGCGAAGGCGACUUUCUGGCUGACAACUGACGCUGAGGCGCGAAAGCGUGGGGAGCAAACAGGCUUAGAUACCCCUGUAGUC